rnacentral:lncRNA from 1 species
UCCUACAUAUGGCUCCUGAGGGCUUUCUGCACUCCCAUUAUCCUAUUUUGUUCUCCUUUUGUGAGUUCACCAGAUGACUGAAUGCGCAAGGUUAAUAUUGUACUCAGCGAGUCCUUAGAUGGAACUGCUACGACUUGAUGGAAAGUCGUAUUUCUUUUUUUGAAGAUGGGAUAAUAUAGGAGUGCCAAUGGCUUCUUGCACAUAGGGGGAAAAAAAGAUGAGUCUGUGAGAUCUGAUAAUGUUCCCUGAUCCCCGUAUCUUGCAAUAAAUGCCAUAAAAAAAACACUGAGUGAGGCACAGCUGUAGUUCUUCUACACUAUUACAGAGCAAGUACUUUCAAAAGUAUCCAUUGGAGGACACUAGAACACAACAAAUCACAGGAAAUAUGCUGUUUAAAAAAAAAAAAAAAGAAAAAAAAAGUACAUUUCUCUUUCAAAGAAGAAAAAUGAAAGUAAAACGUUGUUUUAUUUACAUAGCCUGAAAAUCAUUUGUUACCUGACUGUUUUUCUUUGUCACACCUUCUAUAGAUUCAUUCCUGCUUUGUUUUUGGAACAGUUGCUGAAAUGAUUUUCCUCCUCUGCUGUUCAGAGGGUUGAGGUAGCAGGUGCAAAAGAAAAUCCGACAUCUUCGCUCACAAGGAGAGAUGCCUGGACAGGGUUUACAGUCCAUCAACGCCGUAAGAGCAGGGGUGAUGUAAGACAAGGCGACAGCACUCAAGCCCAAAACCUGACGGAUGGACUCUCUUGGAAGGAAGGGAUUCUUCUUUCCAAUUCCUUCAGUUUGGGGACCUGACGUGGUCCCUUCCAAACUGAGGUAGUUUCUUCUGUGUAAUUUUUUCCAACAGACAAUUUUCAUUUGGAAAUAUAUAACUGACAGAUCUGCAGAGGUUCUGGCAAGAGAUGGUUUUCUGUUGCUUAUCCUGAGUAAUCUGAGCUAAUGUUGCUUUAUUGUUGCAUUUAAUCUUGUUGCUUUUUAUUUUUUUUUAUUAUUUUACUUUGGAUAACUUGCUAAAAUCCAAACAACUUAUGUUGAAGGGAGGACAAUGCAGCCAGUUCAAGACCUGUCUAUGCAGUAAUAAAUAUAUUCAAAGAAGAAGCUGCA